UGCAAGUCGAGCGGUAGCACAGAAGAGCUUGCUCUCGGGUGACGAGCGGCGGACGGGUGAGUAAUGUCUGGGAAACUGCCUGAUGGAGGGGGAUAACUACUGGAAACGGUAGCUAAUACCGCAUAACGUCGCAAGACCAAAGUGGGGGACCUUCGGGCCUCAUGCCAUCAGAUGUGCCCAGAUGGGAUUAGCUAGUAGGUGGGGUAACGGCUCACCUAGGCGACGAUCCCUAGCUGGUCUGAGAGGAUGACCAGCCACACUGGAACUGAGACACGGUCCAGACUCCUACGGGAGGCAGCAGUGGGGAAUAUUGCACAAUGGGCGCAAGCCUGAUGCAGCCAUGCCGCGUGUGUGAAGAAGGCCUUCGGGUUGUAAAGCACUUUCAGCGGGGAGGAAGGCGAUAAGGUUAAUAACCUUGUCGAUUGACGUUACCCGCAGAAGAAGCACCGGCUAACUCCGUGCCAGCAGCCGCGGUAAUACGGAGGGUGCAAGCGUUAAUCGGAAUUACUGGGCGUAAAGCGCACGCAGGCGGUCUGUCAAGUCGGAUGUGAAAUCCCCGGGCUCAACCUGGGAACUGCAUUCGAAACUGGCAGGCUAGAGUCUUGUAGAGGGGGGUAGAAUUCCCAGGUGUAGCGGUGAAAUGCGUAGAGAUCUGGAGGAAUACCGGUGGCGAAGGCGGCCCCCUGGACAAAGACUGACGCUCAGGUGCGAAAGCGUGGGGAGCAAACAGGAUUAGAUACCCUGGUAGUCCACGCCGUAAACGAUGUCGAUUUGGAGGUUGUGCCCUUGAGGCGUGGCUUCCGGAGCUAACGCGUUAAAUCGACCGCCUGGGGAGUACGGCCGCAAGGUUAAAACUCAAAUGAAUUGACGGGGGCCCGCACAAGCGGUGGAGCAUGUGGUUUAAUUCGAUGCAACGCGAAGAACCUUACCUGGUCUUGACAUCCACAGAACUUUCCAGAGAUGGAUUGGUGCCUUCGGGAACUGUGAGACAGGUGCUGCAUGGCUGUCGUCAGCUCGUGUUGUGAAAUGUUGGGUUAAGUCCCGCAACGAGCGCAACCCUUAUCCUUUGUUGCCAGCGGUUAGGCCGGGAACUCAAAGGAGACUGCCAGUGAUAAACUGGAGGAAGGUGGGGAUGACGUCAAGUCAUCAUGGCCCUUACGACCAGGGCUACACACGUGCUACAAUGGCAUAUACAAAGAGAAGCGACCUCGCGAGAGCAAGCGGACCUCAUAAAGUAUGUCGUAGUCCGGAUUGGAGUCUGCAACUCGACUCCAUGAAGUCGGAAUCGCUAGUAAUCGUAGAUCAGAAUGCUACGGUGAAUACGUUCCCGGGCCUUGUACACACCGCCCGUCACACCAUGGGAGUGGGUUGCAAAAGAAGUAGGUAGCUUAACCUUCGGGAGGGCGCUACC
rnacentral:rRNA from 1 species